GCGGGUGUGGCGGAAUUGGUAGACGCGCCAGAUUUAGGUUCUGGUGUCGAAAGACGUGGAAGUUCGAGUCUUCUCACCCGCACCA
rnacentral:tRNA from 1 species